GGGAGCUGAGGCCUGGGUAGAGGCAGGGGAAUGACUGGGGUGGGUCCUAGGGUCUGCUGGGAGCUUGUGGGUACAGCAGUAGCCGAGUUGCCAGGGAAACCGCAUUCCAGGCAAGCCGACCCUCAGUUCCCCUCACUGUUUGUGCAAUUAUCCCGAGGGACUUGGAGUUACACAGAGGCUUUGAAUAUCAGCUGCCACUGGAAGCCAAGAAAGCUCGGGGUGGGAUUAUGGGUUAUGACGCUGGUUCAUUUCAGGGCACAGAAACAGUGUGUGCAGGCCACAAGAGUUAGCUGCUGCCCCUUGGUCGGGUUAUUCCCCGGACUGCCCGCUGUCGGGAGGAGACCAUCACCACCACCCCUGCAGAGGCAGCCAUGGCUGUCAGACAAAGAGGGCGCUCGUGCCUCAGGCUGCGGCUGCCAUUUCAAACCAAGCUUGUGGGAUGGGGAAACAGGGCAAGAAAUGAUGGCUCCUGAAACUCCUCGUGGCAUCUCGGAGGCGGCCGCCCUGGAGCGGGAGCUGCUGGACGAGUACCGCUUUGGGCGGCAGCAGCUGGUGGAACUAUGCGGGCACGGCAGUGCGGUGGCUGUGGCCAAGGCGUUCCCUUUGCCCUCGCUGUCGCGCAAGCAGAGGACGGUACUGGUCGUGUGCGGCCCGGAGCAGAACGGCGCUGUGGGGCUAGCGUGUGCCCGGCACCUGCGGGUGUUCGUGAGUAGCAGGGUCCUAUGGCGGGGAACAGAGCUGGGUUGGGGUUCCGCUGGGGACAAGAACUGGGGUGGUCUCCCUCCUGCUACCGCCAUCACCAGACCCGGGUUCCCCCAGGACUACCAGCCCAGCAUCUUCUGCCCGGCGCGUUCGGCCGACGCUCUGCACUGCGACCUGACCACGCAGUGCGAGAAGAUGGACAUUCCCUUCCUGUCCUUUCUGCCCGCCGAGGUGCGGCUCAUCGAUGACGCCUACGGGCUGGUGGUGGACGCAGUGCUGGGCCCCGGAGUGAGGCCGGCGGAGGCGGGCGGGCCCUGCGCGCGCGCGCUGGCCACUCUGAAGCGGCUCUCCAUCCCGCUCGUGAGCCUGGACGUCCCCUCAGGCAUGCCACCCAGGAGCAGUCUCAUCACCCCAGUCUGUUUUCUCCAUCCACCUUUUCCAGCCGCAGUGUCUCCCUUUUACACCCCCCAGCCCCAGCCUUGGUUUUCCUCAUUCAACCUCAAUUUCUGCGUCUGCCCUCAUCCUGUUUCACACCCUUCCUAAGGAUGGGGAAGUUACAAGUGGCUGCCCCAAGUGACCCGGUGUCCUCUUGGUCCAGGUUGGGACACCGAGGCUGGCGGCGACGCGAAGGAUGAGGUGCAGCCCGACGUGCUAGUGUCCUUCGCUGCACCCAAGAGCUGCGCGAGUCGCUUCUCUGGGCGCCACCACUUUGUGGUCGGCAGGUUCGUGCCUGACGACGUGCG